UCGAGAUACCGUCAGGAGGGUGUACCUAUCGUACUUCCCCAACACACCCUGGUCAGAGUCAUCUCAAUGUCAGUGGGACUCCUUCCCAGUCAGGCGAUUAGAGCGAGACUCGAUGGCGGGAGGAUUGUCAAAACGUGUGGUUAGCUUUUCUUCUAGGAUCAUGUUAGGUUCACCGUUAACAUUUCCUGGAUGAAUUUUAUCUUCUUCAUCCCUAACUUUUGUCUGAAUGAAUGAUCUCUCAUAAGACCAUUCUCAAAGAUCUAAGAUUUGAAGUCCUUCUCAGCUUCCCUCUACCUCGACCGAGACAUGUGAAAAUCGGUCAACAUAAGACUUUAAACUCUCUUUCUUUCCCUAGAUGACCCUGCUCAAGGCGGCUUUAGUUAAAUAUCGUUGCUUUCAGGUAGUGAAAUAUGCAUAAAACUUCUCACGAAACUCCACCCAAGAAUCGAUACUUAUGUCGAGAAAUCCGUUGAACCAAAUCCGGGCCGACCCGACCAAGGUUAACGCAAACCAGUUUUCACUUGGAUGCAUCAUCGACAUUGGAGUAACUCAACCGAUCAUUAACAUGCUAAACAUGCUCGUCGAGAUCUCCUUUUCUGUCAUAAUUGUCAAUCUUAGGUGGCAUCUUCUUGGAUUUUGGAAUCUUCCUCUCUCGGAUUUUUACUAACAGUGGUUGCUUUGGUUGCAUCUUCUCCCUGUGAGUUUCUGCUUGAGUGGGGGCAUCAUCUGUUAUUGAGGAACAGUGUCAUGAUUCUUUGAAUGUGAACGCUUUUGUUUAUUAAAAAUUUGUGUUAUUCAAAUUAGUGACCCUGUUUCAAUUUAUAAUGUUGUUGUGUAUGCUUUGAAGAUUUGAUUUAGGGCAAUUGAGGUCUAGCCAAGAGAAAUUAAUGAAUUCAAUGGAAGCUGGUUCAAUUUAAGCGCUUAUAUGUUGUCAAUAUUGGCCUGAAGCAGCAUUGCAGAGUGGAGCCUCUACUUGUCGCACUAAAACACCUUUCAGUGCCUCAGAUGGAUGUAACAGACCAAAGCUGAGCAUAUUGCUACCAUUGCAGAUAAAUGUAGCGGACCAGAGCUGACCCUAUUGCUACCACUGCAUAUGCAUGUGAUGAUAGAUGAGGCUACUUUUGUACGCUCUGCUGACAUGAUGCUUAAAAUCCUAUUUGAGAGACUGGAAUGGUAGAGGAUGGGCCUUGUUGACUCUUUGUCUCUUACUUUAAAUCCCUAAAUUAAUUCAGGUGGUUAUGCCUUGGUUGAGAAAUUUUUCCUUCAGAAGUACAAGUUUUCACAUUGUGAUGUCUUGCUCUUCCGCAUGUCCCUGCUUUGUCCUUUGUUUUGAUUUGCCUAAAGUUGGACUAGUUAAGGAUGACAUGGAAGCCCCCGAGUUUUAUUUUUCUCAGCCCCCAAGUUUUAUUUUUCUCAGAGAUUUGAUUAUUUGAAAGACAAGGUACAUCCAACAUUUGUAAAGCACCGCAGGGCUAUGAAGAGAGUAUGAAGAAAUCAAUGUACUUGUUAUAGAGUCUCCCAAAAAAUCAGAAAAGGGGUGGUUGCUGCUAGAUGGUACCUGUGGUCAGAAUAAUUGAGAAUAUUCAUCAUAUGCCCUUGAUAGUUUUGUGGUUAAUUGG